rnacentral:rRNA from 1 species
CUUGCUGACGACCGGCGCACGGGUGCGUAACGCGUAUAGAACCUACCUUAUAUUGGGGGAUAGCCCAGAGAAAUUUGGAUUAAUACCCCAUGGUAUGCUAGAGUGGCAUCACUUUAGUAUUAAAGAUUUAUCGAUAUAAGAUGGCUAUGCGUUCUAUUAGCUAGUUGGUAAGGUAACGGCUCACCAAGGCGACGAUAGAUAGGGGUCCUGAGAGGGAGAUCCCCCACACUGGUACUGAGACACGGACCAGACUCCUACGGGAGGCAGCAGUGAGGAAUAUUGGACAAUGGAGGCAACUCUGAUCCAGCCAUGCCGCGUGCAGGAAGACUGCCCUAUGGGUUGUAAACUGCUUUUAUAGAGGAAGAAACCGCUCUACGUGUAGAGCUCUGACGGUACUCUACGAAUAAGGAUCGGCUAACUCCGUGCCAGCAGCCGCGGUAAUACGGAGGAUCCAAGCGUUAUCCGGAAUCAUUGGGUUUAAAGGGUCCGUAGGCGGGCUUAUAAGUCAGUGGUGAAAGUUUGCGGCUCAACCGUAAAAUUGCCAUUGAUACUGUAGGUCUUGAAUCAUUGUGAAGUGGUUAGAAUGUGUAGUGUAGCGGUGAAAUGCAUAGAUAUUACACAGAAUACCGAUUGCGAAGGCAGAUCACUAACAAUUGAUUGACGCUCAGGGACGAAAGCGUGGGUAGCGAACAGGAUUAGAUACCCUGGUAGUCCACGCCGUAAACGAUGGUUACUAGCUGUUUGGACUUCGGUCUGAGUGGCUAAGCGAAAGUGAUAAGUAACCCACCUGGGGAGUACGUUCGCAAGAAUGAAACUCAAAGGAAUUGACGGGGGCCCGCACAAGCGGUGGAGCAUGUGGUUUAAUUCGAUGAUACGCGAGGAACCUUACCAG